CCGGGCCUAGAGGAUGUGAGGAAUCUGGCGUCCAAGGUGUUGGAGAUUAAAAAGCCUGGAACUCAGGAAACUGAGCUUGCAGGGCUGGGAGCAUGUCGUAAAAACAACUGAACGGGGUGGAGUGAACCCUACCCAAGCCUGAGAGGGAGGCUGCUGGGAGUUGCAGGGGCAGGUCCCUGUCAGAUGUCACUCCACAGGAACACAUCCAGAUACUGGGAAGAAAAUCAGCAGGUAAAGGCAUUUGGUGUGCAGGCCUCAUGACCUGGGUUGGAUCCCUGGAACCCACAUAAACAAACAACUAUACGAAGUUGUCCUCUGACUUCCACAUACAUGCCGUGCCCUGCAUCUGCACUCCAGUGCUCAGAGUGUGUGCACACACACAGAAAUGGUAUUGAUAUUAAAAUGUUUAUUUAUUUUUU
rnacentral:lncRNA from 1 species